rnacentral:rRNA from 1 species
UGAGUAACCUGCCCUGGACUUUGGGAUAACCCUCGGAAACGGGGGCUAAUACCGGAUAUGACAUGCUCUCGCAUGGGGGUGUGUGGAAAGUUUUUCGGUCUGGGAUGGGUUCGCGGCCUAUCAGCUUGUUGGUGGGGUGAUGGCCUACCAAGGUGACGACGGGUAGCCGGCCUGAGAGGGUGUCCGGCCACACUGGGACUGAGAUACGGCCCAGACUCCUACGGGGAGCA